CAAAACUGAUAUAUGCCUGACAUCUGAGGAGAGGGAUGGGACUGGAGAUUGAGUUACCAACUCAAAGGCAAUGAUUCAACCAACUCUGCCUACGUAAUGAAACCCUAAUAAAAUCUCUGGAUACUGAAGUUCAGGAGCAGCAGAUGCAUGGGCGCAGGAGGGCGGAGAGGAGCUACUCCACGCAAAGGUCAGGAGGGGCGGCCAUGAGAAGAUACCCCUUGUCCAAGGUAAGGAGCAGCGGCUGUGCUUUGCUGGAGCAGCCAUGAAGAGAUACCCCACGUCCAAGUUGAGGAAACCAAAACACAUGAGGACAGUGAGUGACUUGGCUCAAAUUGGACAGCUUGUCGACAGCAAAGCUGGAACAAGACUCUAAGCCUCAGAUUUUCUGUGUAAGAUACAUUUUCCCAUUAAAUGAGUUAUUUUAACCAUGAGUUUCUGAAAAGAUGCAAUCUUCUCGAAGUAACUCUGCAUCCCUGU
ensembl:lncRNA